UAUCUUUCCAUUGCAAUCAAACUGUAAUUUAGUGUUCUCGUCAGUAAGUUUUCUUAACUGCUUCACAACCUUAUUGUUCCGUGCAACAUUUUUAUGGUGCAAAAUAUUUCUUGCAAGGAAAAUGUGGGAUGAUGGUUUCAUCAUGUUCAGGAAGUAGUUAUUUUUAUUCAUAUCUGAAAAGAGUUGCUCUGCUGUCUGACCGUUUAUUUUUCCUGCAAGCUCCGGGACCAAGCCAAUCUUCCUCAAGGAAUCCUUAAGAUCUUUACUAUUGUUCUGAUGGAACACAUCACUAAAAACAUAAUGGUCACAUGAACCAGUAACAGGGUGACCAUCUUGAUCAGCUGGUUCUUUUCAGUGGUUAAGCCAUGGCAAACUGACUUCCAAGUCAUUUUCAGAUGCCUUCUUGAUAUUUUCUUCAGAUGGAUACAGUAAUCAACCUUCACAAGGAUGAAAUAAUUUUUUUGAACGAUGGUUUGCAUGUGAGGCUAGAACCCUUGGGUAGUCGUACACAGUAACAUUUGGCAUGUGAUUGUUCAAAAUUUCAGGCUUAGUCUACGUUUUCUAAAAGUUCCCUACUUCAGCUUUAAGAUAGCGAGCUGCUCUAAGGUGACUGAAACCCUGUAACAGCAGGUUGUCCAGUGUAACGAUCCUUGGCUCAAGGGAAGCAACAAAACAAGGGACACACGAAAACCAAAUUAUAAGCUCAAUGUAAUAUUUAUUUACUUACAAAAUAAGACAACACUAAAUUAUAGAAUGAAAACAAUAAUAAUAAAAAAAAAACAGUAUUUCUGUAUUCAUCAGUAAGGUCAGUGUGCAAAGCAAGAUGCAGGUAUGAAAUGUAAUGUAGUGUUGAAGUGAAAAUGAAAAGAGUAACAAAAUACAACACAACCAAAGUGUCAAAAACCAAAGACUGACUCUCCCCGGUCAAUUAGUGAUCUCUUAAACAGCAUCCAAGGCACAAACAGGUGUUUCCAGUAGACUGGCAAUUUAGGUGAUUAAUGGGCUCAGGUGCCAACCACAAUUCACAGAAUCAACAGCAGGUGUCGUCACACCAGAUAAAUGCCAAAGGGAUAACCAUUUCGGCCACUGCAAGAUAAGUUUUUCUUUCCAAAUCUGUGAUUUCUAACAUAAAUGCACCUUUACAAUGAUGCUAAUUCAAGACCACCAAAAAGGCAAGUCAUCCAUGGAAAACAAAGAGACCAUGGAGUGAAGAGGAGAGCAGUGCAGUCGAGAGAAGAAUGGGCAAGUUUAUAGCUCUGAGAAAAGUACCAGGGAAAGAAGCCUGCAUGCUGUGCAUCACACAGGAGUCCCCAGCACUGAAGACCAGGACAUGGAAGGAUGUCAAGUAUUUUGUUUACAAUGACAUCAUUCGAGUCAAGAGAAAGCUCUUUUAAAAUGUUUGCAAACAGAGUUCAUUUUAGUCAAGUUUAAUUUUAUUUCCUCAGAUCUUAAUGCUACUCAAUGAAAAAAAAAAAACGUAAUGUACAUUAAUAAAUACACUACUCCAAGGAAGGACACCUCAAAUAGAUCAAAUAUGACAGUUACAGUUUUUCUCAGUUGCUUUGGUACAUUUCUCGAAUCAUCCUUGAGAUUUGCAAAACAACUCGUACAAAUAGCAAAACACCAUGGAUUACCUGCAGAAGCCAGUCUCUUGCUCAAAAUCCUUCGUUCAUCUCUCAAAAAUAAAUGAACAUGAACAUGUAAGUGCCAUCAGAAUGACACGUCCUUGUGUCAUAGUUUACGGAUAAGAAAGUCAAAUCGCUUAAGUCAUUGUUGUCAAUAUAACAGUGUACUCUGGAGGGAUGUUCUGAUGUAAACCAUGGCAACUGUUUUGGAUGACAGUUACUGUAUUGAACAGUAUGCCAUAUGCUUAUAUAUCCUAUUUCAAAAGUAUAAAUUUAAACAUUACUGUAUGUGGGAUAUUGAUUGAAAGAGACUGGACAGAAUUCACAGUUACACUUUUACUAGUGGUCUGACCAAAUUUUUUUUAUAGAAAAUCUUUACAAUGUCAUUGUGAUAUAGAAAAGAAAAAAAGAAAUGUGGGCACAAAGGUGAAAAUAAGUAAAUUUUCAGAAUGUGUAGCUCUUGUGUUGUCCUCUGUCUGUACAGUAUAAGCUUUCUAACUGAGAAUUCAUGAGAUGAACCUUUGAGCUAUUUCAGAGAAAUGGUUUAUCAUUGGUUUAUCAUCUACAUUAUCUUCAUUAGUAAAGAUUCACUUGCACAAUUCAUGCCAAAUUGACAAAAAGUCUAAUAAUAAUAAUGUGUAAAAAAAAAUGUGCUUGGCAGUUUAUGACAACUAUAUUAACCAUUUUGAAUGUAAUGACCUAUACGAUGAACUAGAGACUAGAUGUUUUGAGGGGUCAGACUAUUGCACAGAAAACUGUAAUACAUGUCGAACAACAUGACAUUAGCAACUGAUAAUGUUGGAAACUGCAGAUAAAUGUGAACCUGCAGCAGUGUUUCAAUCACUGAACUGUAGAGAAUUCACUAUAAGUACCUUAAAGUAAUCAAAUAGUAGAAUUAAAAGAUCAAAUUAUUUAUACAGCUUAUUGAUGUUGCAUACUAUAUACAGGUGAGCAGAUGAGCCUAGAACAUAAAUGCAAUGCCUAAUGACAAACUGUGUGUUCUAGGAUCAUCAAUAAGUUAUAUAUUGAGUUUGGCCAUGUUUUACCCUCCAGGUGGGUGUUCCUAUAAAAACUAACAAUGAAGGUAAGCAUACAUUAUUUUAAGUAUUUUCUUGUAAACAAUUGAAUGGAUCUAUUAAUAAAUCUAUUAAAUUGAAUACAAUUUAAAGAUUAAGUAACAAUAAAAAAAGUAUGUAACACUUUCAGAAUGUUUUCAUUUGUGGAAUUCACCUCAGAUCAGUGUAGCUGUAAUUCCUGACAUCAUUAAAAUAGUCAACAUGACUACAGUGGUUCAACCUUAAUGUUAUUCGCCAGUGAAAAUAUUAUUUUUGUUUUGUUUUGGCAGCCAAAAGUAUUCUCGUUGCUUCCUAACAUUAAGGUUGAACCACUGUAGUCAUGUUGACUAUUUUAACAGUUUGUUUAACUACCUUCCUGGACCUGUAAAGGUGCAAUGACAAUGCUGCGUUCAUGUGGAUAUGUGGAUCAGAUACCCUCACUAUUUCAUAAAAAAUACCUUAAUUUGUGUUCUGAAGAUGAAUGAAGGUCUUAUUGGUUUGGGACGACAUGAGGGAGAGACAUUAAAGACAGAAUUUUCAUUUUUGGGUGAACAAACCUUUUAAAGUCUCAUUUGUUAACAUUAGUUUAUGUAAAGGUAACAAACAGUGAGCAACACAUUUGAUAUAUUUGUAUUAUUCAUCUUUACUAAUGUCAGUUAUAAUAACAUGGCUGUUCAUUGGUUUUCUUGUUAACACAACAUAAUUUCUUUUUUAAAUUCUGCAAUACACCAAACAUGGGUGACAUGACUGAAGGACAAGGUUACGGCUCAUAAAUUCUAAGUUUACCUGUGCCUGCAGUGCAACCCUCUCAAGAUGACUCAAGGUUUCUGUGCUUGCAUCUCUCCUCUGGAUUUGUUGAUCUUUCAUGGACUCAUUCUGGUUACCAAUCUUUUGGCUUUUGACUGUGUUCACCUGUCAGCCAUGUACGGAGCCCAAUUUUGUUCAAUAAAUGUUGAAUUAUAUAA